GCGUUGAAGGAGUUUUGAGCGGUAAGGAAGAUUGGACGGCGCGUCGAGCUGUUGUUCCUCAACGACAACUACGAAUUAGAGAUGGCAGCAAUGAAUUGGCCGUAGUUGAAUACAUGGAUGAGAUGUAUAAGUUUUAUAAGCUUGGUUGAUUGAAGUUCAUCGCAAAUUUGAACUUAUGAUGACUGUACCAUGGAAGGAACUUCACCUCUAUGAUCAUAGCAUGUAAAUAUGGAGAGAUUUUGGCCUCAGAGGUAAAUUAUUUGUUUUUUUUCCUUUCUUUCACACGUGUGUACUAUCCUUGAAAAACUCUUUUUGAAAGCAAGACUUGAGGAUGUGACACAGAGUAGCUUGUUUAGGCUAUAGGGCCCAAGAGUGCUGGAGAACUGACAUCAUACCUCACACUAUAGUACAUUUUGAGAUAUUUUUUUUAGACAUUUUGAAGGCGAGUAGACAUACAAUUUUGUGCA